CCUUCUAAUUAGUCAUUAAUGAUGCUAAAAUGGAAGCCAACGGUUCGCAGCCUCCUUUUUCAUCAUAUCUUUUAAAUAUAUCUUGAUCACAACAGUCUUGAUCGAGUCCAACUAAGAGACCAGAGGCCAUAGCUUGUACUUAUGCUUGAAUCCAAGCUACUUGCCCUCGAUUCUUCCAUCGUCGGAUUUCAAAAUCCGCUCCAGCAAUCUCAUCU
rnacentral:lncRNA from 1 species